AGCGAACGCUGGCGGCAGGCCUAACACAUGCAAGUCGAACGGACCCUUCGGGGUUAGUGGCGGACGGGUGAGUAACACGUGGGAACGUGCCUUUAGGUUCGGAAUAGCUCCUGGACACGGGUGGUAAUGCCGAAUGUGCCCUUCGGGGGAAAGAUUUAUCGCCUUUAGAGCGGCCCGCGUCUGAUUAGCUAGUUGGUGAGAUAAUGGCUCACCAAGGCGACGAUCAGUAGCUGGUCUGAGAGGAUGACCAGCCACACUGGGACUGAGACACGGCCCAGACUCCUACGGGAGGCAGCAGUGGGGAAUCUUGCGCAAUGGGCGAAAGCCUGACGCAGCCAUGCCGCGUGAAUGAUGAAGGUCUUAGGAUUGUAAAAUUCUUUCACCGGGGACGAUAAUGACGGUACCCGGAGAAGAAGCCCCGGCUAACUACGUGCCAGCCGCCGCAGUAA
rnacentral:rRNA from 1 species